GACGAACGCUAGCGGCAGGCCUAAUACAUGCAAGUCGAACGGGAUUAAGAGGCUUGCUUCUUAUGAGAGUGGCGCACGGGUGCGUAACACGUAUGCAACCUACCUUCAACUGGGGGAUAGCCUUCCGAAAGGGAGAUUAAUACCGCAUAAUAUAAUUGAGUGGCAUCACUUGAUUAUCAAACGUCAGGGUUGAAGAUGGGCAUGCGUCCGAUUAGUUCGUUGGUGAGGUAACGGCUCACCAAGACUACGAUCGGUAGGGGAUCUGAGAGGAUGGCCCCCCACACUGGUACUGAGACACGGACCAGACUCCUACGGGAGGCAGCAGUAAGGAAUAUUGGUCAAUGGACGGAAGUCUGAACCAGCCAUGCCGCGUGCAGGAAGACGGUCCUCUGGAUUGUAAACUGCUUUUGUUAGGGAAGAAACUUCCGUACGUGUACGGGACUGACGGUACCUAAAGAAUAAGGAUCGGCUAACUCCGUGCCAGCCGCCGCUGUAAAAC
rnacentral:rRNA from 1 species